ACGGAGGGUGCGAGCGUUAUCCGGAAUCACUGGGUUUAAAGGGUGCGUAGGCGGGGAAUUAAGUCAGUGGUGAAAGCCUGUCGCUUAACGAUAGAAUUGCCAUUGAUACUGAUUUUCUUGAAUUGGGUUGAGGUUAGCGGAAUGUGACAUGUAGCGGUGAAAUGCAUAGAUAUGUCAUGGAACACCAAUUGCGAAGGCAGCUAACUGGGCCUUGAUUGACGCUGAGGCACGAAAGCGUGGGUAGCGAACAGGAUUAGAUACCCUGGUAGUCCACGCCCUAAACGAUGCUAACUCGAUGUUUGGGCUAUAGGCUUGAGCAUCCAAGGGAAACCGAUAAGUUAGCCACCUGGGGAGUACGUCCGCAAGGAUG
rnacentral:rRNA from 1 species